CCCAGGGUAGCCACAGUGAACAUGGCAUCUGCCCGGUAAGCGGAACACUGUGGGUUCGGUUCCCAUCCCUUGGA